rnacentral:rRNA from 1 species
UACGAAGGGGGCUAGCGUUGUUCGGAAUUACUGGGCGUAAAGGGCGCGUAGGCGGCGCAUCAAGUCAGGCGUGAAAGCCCCGGGCUUAACCUGGGAACAGCGCUUGAGACUGGUGUGCUUGAGGACCGGAGAGGUGGGUGGAAUUCCCAGUGUAGAGGUGAAAUUCGUAGAUAUUGGGAAGAACACCGGUGGCGAAGGCGGCCCACUGGACGGUACCUGACGCUGAGGCGCGAAAGCGUGGGGAGCAAAC